rnacentral:rRNA from 1 species
GACGAACGCUGGCGGCGUGCUUAACACCUGCAAGUCGAGCGGAGCGGCGAACGGGGGAGUAACGCGUGAGUAACUGCCCCCCUCUCUGGGAUAACAGUUGGAAACGGCUGCUAAUACCGGAUAGUGGGGGAUGACUCGCGUCCUAUCAGAUUGUUGGUGGGGUAGUGGACUACCAAGGCGACGACGGGUAGCCGGCCUGAGAGGGCGACCGGCCACAGUGGGCUGAGGAGGCGGCCAAACUGCAACGGGAGGCAGCGGUGGGGAAUAUUGCGAAAUGGGGGGAGCCCUGAUGGAGCAACGCCGGGUGCGGGAGGUCGGCUUUCGGGUUGUAAACCGCUUUCAGCCAUGACGCGGUAGUGGCAGAAGAAGCACCGGCUAACUACGUGCCAGCAGCCGCGGUAAUAC